rnacentral:lncRNA from 1 species
AUUCAGAUUCACUCGUCUAUCUGGAGCCACGCACCUCCUCGCAUCGUUAAAAAUUUAGUGGAAAGCCAUGCACGGGGCAUAUGUAAUGUGCAAUUUCAACCGUACACACAUCUCUAAACAAAUUUUCUUCAAGCAUGUUACUGACAUUUAUUCUAAUUGAGGAUGAAGCCUACCGAAACUUUGAAGUUUUUGAAAACAAAACAAUGCAAGAUGUGAGUUGCUACCAGAGGGUACUGCACAUCUGAAGGAGUCUGUACGCACAGGGAAGUCACCUUCCUUGGUGUUCGGAAUAACUUCUAGACCUUUCUCUUCCUUCCCUUCCCUCUGUCCCCUCCUUCUUCAUGCCAGGCGGACAAAGUAUUUGCUUUUUCUACCACCUACCUCUUUCCUCGUUUUGUUUUUGUUUUUGUUUUUCCUAUCCUCUUUUUUCUAGCAAAGACAUGCACUGUGCCAGCUCUUUAGGUUUGGUCUGGUUUGCUUUGAAUAUCACAAACAGUGAGACAAGCCUGCUGCUCCUUAGAACUUCAGCUGGAGAAGCUCAAUCAUGAAUGCACCCCCUGCAUGAGAACCAACUUUGGAUUUGUAUGUCAGACUAAACCAACACUUCCAUCUUGGAUUUCUUCACAUCUAAGUGCAGUUUGCCACUCUCUGGAAAAUGCUCGGUCUUGGUUUUGCUCGCAGACAGUGGACACAGCAGACCUAGUUGGUGGUGGAUCCACACGGACUGGCACGUUCCAGAACUUUCUCACGUAAAAGCCUCUGGAAAUCCAAAUAUUUACAGCUUGAAAUCAUCAGAUCCUAUUGAUGCAAAAAGGAGGGUCCACACACAACACGGGAAUGUAGG